rnacentral:rRNA from 1 species
AUUGAACGCUGGCGGCAUGCUUUACACAUGCAAGUCGAACGGGCUUGGGGGCUUGCUCCCAAGUUAGUGGCGAACGGGUGAGUAAUACAUCGGAACGUACCGUGUAGUGGGGGAUAACGUAGCGAAAGUUACGCUAAUACCGCAUACGAUCUACGGAUGAAAGCAGGGGGACCUUCGGGCCUUGUGCUAUACGAGCGGCCGAUGUCUGAUUAGCUGGUUGGUGAGGUAAAGGCUCACCAAGGCGACGAUCAGUAGCGGGUCUGAGAGGAUGAUCCGCCACACUGGAACUGAAACACGGUCCAGACUCCUACGGGAGGCAGCAGUGGGGGAAUCUUGCGCAAUGGGGGAAACCCUGACGCAGCGACGCCGCGUGGGUG